rnacentral:sRNA from 1 species
CUCAUUCAAAUUAAUCAUUUUUUAGCAAACACUUCACUUUUGUUAUCCUUGAGCAACCAAGUUUACAAUUAUGUCGUUUUGAGAAUGCAAGAUUAUUUGAGAAGACUUGCUUGAUUUUCAUGGAUAUGUAGUUAGACACAGGUGCUUGACACUUUGAGAAGUGUAAGUUGGCACUUGACAGUUUCCUACUAGGCGUCCAAAAAAAACUAGCAUGCACACAAGUCUUGCAAAAUCUGAACCAUAUAGCUUAGCAACUAAUUUUUUUCAUGCAAUGCUUAGGUAUCGAACUAUUUGAUGCCUCACAACUUCUUUCGUCAUGUUCUGUAAUGCUAUAUUUUUCCUUUGCCAUUACUUAAAGAAUACUCAAUUUUCGUGUUCGAGAAAGAAAAAAGAAUACCUUUUCUUGUC